rnacentral:rRNA from 1 species
UGCAGUCGGACGGUAGCACAAAGGAGCUUGCUCCUUGGGUGACGAGUGGCGGACGGGUGAGUAAUGUCUGGGGAUCUGCCCGAUAGAGGGGGAUAACCACUGGAAACGGUGGCUAAUACCGCAUAACGUCGCAAGACCAAAGAGGGGGACCUUCGGGCCUCUCACUAUCGGAUGAACCCAGAUGGGAUUAGCUAGUAGGCGGGGUAAUGGCCCACCUAGGCGACGAUCCCUAGCUGGUCUGAGAGGAUGACCAGCCACACUGGAACUGAGACACGGUCCAGACUCCUACGGGAGGCAGCAGUGGGGAAUAUUGCACAAUGGGCGCAAGCCUGAUGCAGCCAUGCCGCGUGUAUGAAGAAGGCCUUCGGGUUGUAAAGUACUUUCAGCGGGGAGGAAGGCGAUGGGGUUAAUAACCGUGUCGAUUGACGUUACCCGCAGAAGAAGCACCGGCUAACUCCGUGCCAGCAGCCGCGGUAAUACGGAGGGUGCAAGCGUUAAUCGGAAUUACUGGGCGUAAAGCGCACGCAGGCGGUCUGUUAAGUCAGAUGUGAAAUCCCCGGGCUUAACCUGGGAACUGCAUUUGAAACUGGCAGGCUUGAGUCUUGUAGAGGGGGGUAGAAUUCCAGGUGUAGCGGUGAAAUGCGUAGAGAUCUGGAGGAAUACCGGUGGCGAAGGCGGCCCCCUGGACAAAGACUGACGCUCAGGUGCGAAAGCGU